ACGCUCGACACCUACGGGAGGUAGCAGUGGGGAAUAUUGCACAAUGGGCGAAAGCCUGAUGCAGCAACGCCGCGUGAGCGAAGAAGGCCUUGGGUCGUAAAGCUCUGUCCUCAAGGAAGAUAAUGACGGUACUUGAGGAGGAAGUCCCGGCUAACUACGUGCCAGCAGCCGCGGUAAUCUGAGCGGGCUGGCAAGGC
rnacentral:rRNA from 1 species